UACAGAGGUCUCAAGCGUUGUUCGGAUUCAUUGGGCGUAAAGGGUGCGUAGGUGGCGCGUUAAGUCAGGUGUGAAAUUUCGGAGCUUAACUCCGAAACUGCAUUUGAUACUGGCGUGCUUGAGGACUGGAGAGGAGACUGGAAUUCAUGGUGUAGCAGUGAAAUGCGUAGAUAUCAAGUGGAACACCAGUGGCGAAGGCGAGUCCCUGGACAACUCCUGACACUGAGGCACGAAAGCUAGGGGAGCAAACAGG
rnacentral:rRNA from 1 species